rnacentral:rRNA from 1 species
UACUAGCCAGACCUCUGUGUCAAAGCCUGAUCUCGUCAGAUCUCAGACGUUAGCAAGGUGAGGCCGUGUUAGUACCUGAACUGGAGACUGCUGGGAAUACCAGAUGCCACAGUGG